GAGAAAUCCAACAGUUAUCCCCACCAGUUAUAUACCAGCAGCUCACAUCAUUCACACAGUUACAUUGGUUUGCCCUAUGCGGACCAUAAUUAUGGUGCUCGUCCUCCUCCGACACCUCCGGCUUCCCCUCCUCCAUCAGUCCUUAUUAGCAAAAAUGAAGUAGGCAUAUUUACCACUCCUAAUUUUGAUGAAACUUCCAGUGCUACUACAAUCAGCACAUCUGAGGAUGGAAGUUAUGGUACUGAUGUAACCAGGUGCAUAUGUGGUUUUACACAUGAUGAUGGAUACAUGAUCUGUUGUGACAAAUGCAGGUAAAAUAUUUUACACCAUUAUUUUAUUUUUCUUGAAUGCUGAUAACCUUUGGUAAUGUUGGAAAAGAUAACUAAAGUCACUUUCAAGGCAAUUAAUGGAUACAUAUUUUAAGUGGGACUUCUACUAUUGAUGCAGUCCUAGAAAAAGCCUCCUAUGUGAAAAAAGAGUUUACUAGAAAUCCCUGUUGUUAACUGAGUAAUAGACAGUCAGUUCUGAACUUUUUUCAUGUAGGAUCACAUUUUUCU
rnacentral:sRNA from 1 species